CCCACAGUGCAUAUACGUAUUCUGUAAAGGAAGGUAAGAAUGCCCAACUAUACGAAUCAUGAUUCCCCAGAAUUUUACCAGAUUUUCACAGGGUUUGGUUUGUCACAAACAGCAGACAUGACGCUAUGAUACAAGACCUUAGACUGUAUAUAGAAUGGACAGCUUCUGCCUCCUUGCUCCCCCCGCUUGCGGUGUUGACAUGUAGUUACAGUAAGACUAGUUUGUGCUCAAGUCUUCUUUUUUUCUGUGAACCUCCGUUUUUAGUUUCUAUAGACGAACAGCUUUUCAGACUGUUUCAUGAACUUUGAAGGGAUAAAUUUACUGACUAUGAACCGUAAUUUUACUCCAAGUAACAGAAAUAGUUUAGAAAUGUUUGGUUUAUAUGUUAAUCAUUUAUUUAGUCUUUUUAACCAUUAGGUGGUUAUAAUGUCAUUGAAUAAUCUGAAUGUGAGUAUAACGAAUCCAUUAUGAAUCAUGAUGAGGUUUAUCUAUAUGUGUUUACUCUUUUGUUGUUCACAGUUUCUAUGUGUUACUAUCUGUUCUAUUUCAGAGUAAUUCAGCAUGUUCAGUGUGAUACUUAAAACAUAAUGAGAAUGUUUAAUGUGAUCCUACAUUUCUUCAUAUGUGUUUAGUAUCAAAUCAUUUAUCAUGAAACCAAGCAUUUAAUAGCAUUAAUCAUAGUGAGUGAGUGUCAGAUCUGACUCUUUUACCAGCCAAAAGUAUAAGUUAGAUCAAAUAAUCAGGGAUCCAAGAGGUCUCCUCUGCAGUUGGAGACCCCAUGACCCCUCCUCUUUCUCCUCACACACACACCCCAGAGACACUCCCAGUGUGAAGGCGAUAAAACCAGUGAAGUUUUUCCACUUGUUUUUCCGGGUCUUCUCUUAGCCCUCUUCUUUGUUUUCUCUUAGCUCUUACUCUUACUACUUAGUCUUAGUUUUUUAUAGUCUUCUAAGUUUUACACCACGUGUUCAUUCACGUUGAUUUUUCUUUAACAUCGUCUUAGUUCAAGUUUUGAAACUUCAACUUUUUGUGCGCAUAGCAAUCCAGUAUCAAGUUUUCAAUUGAUUUUUCUUUAAUUUCACGAAGCCAUUUUUGAAAUUGUUUCGAUUGGCCAUCCAACCUCUUUUCCUGAGUUAUCUGGGUGAUUUCAAAGUCACCUCUAAACGCCACUGAGCAGGCCCAAAGUCAUCCUCUGUGCCAGAGUUUGUGGUGAGACCAAAGGAGCAUUGAGUAGGAUACAUACGGUGCUGGUUUUUGCUUCGGGCCCAAGUGCUGCGACUACUGGCCCAUCUUUCGGCUGACUUAAGUCGUCUUCUGAGCCGAACCUCUCGAACCGCCGGUAGCCCCGGACCUUCGGUACCUGCUCCAUAUUGGCCAAGGACCAGUCUCACUUAAGUAUCCAAACCUCCAGAACUCCAAACAGGGCUGAUGCUGUCUCAUGUGGUCAUGACUCAGAUAUUCACUUUAGUAAUCCUAAAUUCAUCCAAAUCCACAUCCAAAUUCAGCUUUACACCAGAGUUAAUGUUGGUUAAUACGUUAGAGCAUAUUCACUCACUCACUAUCAUUAACUUUAGUGCUCUUAGCCUGACUCAGAGUCUUUUAUUAUUCACCUAUUAUUAUUUAUCCUCAUUAUCUUAUCAUCAUUUAUUGCUUGUAUGUUGUACCAUCAUUUAUCCUGUAAUAAACAGAUCAUCAUAGUUCUUGUCUGUUAGUGUUCUUCCAGAAGUGGAGUCCCUGAAAUGAGAAUUUCGGCUUGAGAUAUGAGAUUGAUUAAUUUGACUUAGUGUUUGAUUUCUGAAUGAAUUUUUUGUUUUUCUUUAUUUUCCUGCCAUUAAGGGUGGGUGGUGCCCCUUUAAACGAGUGCAUAAAUGUCAUAAAUUAAGAUUAUUAAUCUUAAGUCAUUUAUUAUAAAUUCAAAUCGCUACACAGAGAAACCAAAACAAAUGGCAAUGGAAAACAACAAAACAAGAUCAUGUUAAGGAUGUGAAGAAAUAAAGAAAGAUACACUGAUUCAGCAAAAAGGACUUUAGAAUCUUUGAAUGUCAUUGAACGUCAUUGAUUGUACUGCACAAACUGUCAAGGAAACAGAAAAGAUCAAGAUAGUUGUGAGAUCAGCAGAAAAACACCUGGCUGGCAUGGGAAACUGUCGAGGAGAUGAUGGGGCAGCACAAAGUUCCCAAGCAUGGGCUGGUGGGUCUUCAUGGUCCUAGUCAUUUUACAGUGGAAUGCCAGAAGUCUCAUUGCAAAUGGCCAAGAGUUAAAUUGUACAUAGCAUGUCUACACAAGAAACCACAUAUAACAUGUACACAAAAAACCUGGUUGAAACCAGGAUGGGAUUUUGUUUUAAAUGGAUAUACUUCAACUAGAAACGAUAGAAAGGAUGGUAAAGGGGGAUGUGUGAUGACAUCCAACCCAGACACACACAGGUUUGCUAUAGAGCAGUGGUUCUCAAGUCUAGUCCUCGAGGUCCACUGUCCUGCAUGUUUUGGAUGUUUCCCUGCUCCAACACACCUGAUUCAAAUGAUUAGCUCAUUAUUAAGCCAUUACAGAGCCUUAUAAUGGCUUAAUAAAACCUCUAAUUAAUUUAUUACUAAUAAAGGAUCACUGAUAGAGGCAUAUCAGUACAACAACAACUUUUUUCCUUAUCAAGCCAUUUUGUGUUUAUGUUAUCUGAAAGCCUUAUUAUCAUUAUUUUGCAAGUAUCGUGGUUGAUAAUUUACAAUCAGAGUUUUGAAGCGCAAUGGGUCUAUAAGAACUGCACUUUUUGUAUAUCACUGAAAUAAUUGUCUCUUUCCAAUUCUGGGGAAGUUCCUCGGUUUCAAAUGCAAACCUAUAGGCUUUCUCCAGAACUGGACUUACUUCCUCCACAAAAACCUUAUAAAAUCUGUUACAAAAUCCAUCUGAACCUGGACUUUUACUAUUUUUCAACUCCCUUAAUACUUUCACUAUUUCCUCUCUUGUUAUAGGACAAUCCAUAGUUUGCGAAGUCUCGUCAGACAGUAUCGGCAAUUGUAUAUUUUCUUAAAUAAAUAUCAAAUUGUUUGGAAUCUAUGCAUGUAUAUGUAUUUGAGUACAGCCUUUUGUAAAAUUUAGCAAACGCAUCUGAUAUCUCGUCUGGUUUGUAAAGAAAGGAGUCCCCUGGAUCACUGUUUUUAAUUUUUUGUAUGACUGAUAAUACCAGUAAUCUACUAGUUUUACCCCCACAUUCAUAAUAACGUUGUUUUACAAACCUCAAAUUUUCUCUCCAUCUUUUCUAUAAGCAGAUUUUCCAGAGCUCUCUUAGCUUUGUUAAGCUGUGUCUUUCACACUCUGCUGUGUUUCUCAGGCUGAUUCUCACUCACCUCCCUGCCACACCUCCUCAUCAGUGCUGAUUCCCCACACCUGUGAAUGACAAGCUGCAGCGCCUCACUGCUGAUUAGCCAGCCAGUAUUUAAGCCACUCUGUGUCCCUCAUUCAGUGCCAGAUUGUCUUCGCAGCAUGCAGGACUCUCCAGCAUUAUUUCCCGGAUUGACUUCUGGGUUUUGACUCCUGCUUGUCUCUGACCACGUCUUCUUGUCUCAGCCCUUGGAUCCCCUGUCAAGUUUCUUUGCUCUUGUGAGAACUUCAGGUUUCGCUGUGUUGCUGGCUUCCCAACCUACUGCCUGUCCACGACCAUCCUUCCAUCUGAUCCCUCUGAAAUUAAUCUGCCCCGCUGAUUGUCUGCCAGGAUUCGACAUUGCCUCCACUUCGGCCACGAGCCCAGCCUGCCCCUCGACAGUGCCGCUGCACUUCUCAUAGACUCUCAGGUGUAGUGCAUUUUCCGUGAGCACUCACCUGUUGGACCUGUUUCCUGUGGAUCUGUUUCUUGUUGGUCUUGGAGAUCCUACAGAGACUGCUAAAUCAAUCCCUGUAUAUUCUUUCCUGUUACCUUCUGAAAUACCUGUCUUCUGUGAACUGUUGCAAUAAAAGUAGCUUCUAAACAACUA
rnacentral:lncRNA from 1 species